AAGUCGUAACAAGGUCUCCGUAGGUGAACCUGCGGAGGGAUCAUUAACACGUAUCCACGUAUCAAACCAAACCGCGCACUAGGAACAGAAGAAACCUCCCUGCGAGGAAGUAUGAUGUUCCAAUCUGACUUGGAAAAGAAAUGCUGUCAGUUAGCAUCGUGUAGUGGGUCCUUCGGGACGAUGCUCUUUGACUGGAGGGAAAAGCUCCAAGGCAUAGUAUUUUCCAAGUAUAAAAAUUUUCUACCUCUACGGGAAGCCAACCUAUUUCACCCCCAUAUAACCACUUGACUGAUGACGCUCGUGCGGAGAAAUCCGAUUCGAGUUUUCGAUAUUCGAACUAAAGCACAACUCUUAGCAACGGAUAUCUUGGUUCUC
rnacentral:misc_RNA from 1 species